rnacentral:lncRNA from 1 species
AGACAGCUCUAGCCCUCACCAUGGCCCGCACAUCCUGUAGCCCUGGUCCCUGGGGCCUUCCCUCCCACCCCCUGAUUCUCCCCUUCCUCUCUCUGCUGCAACCACAGACUUCCUCCCUGUUGUUCCUCUCCUACCUCAGGGCGUUUGCAGAUGCUGUGAGCAUUGGAUGUCGGGCGGAGGGCUUUCCCUAAUUUCAAUCUCCCACCAGUCCUAUCAGGUAAAUAGGAGAUCCAUUUUACAGAUGAGGAAACUGAGUCUCAGAGAGCUGAAGUUAAAGACACACAGCUUUUUGUGAAUCCACUGAGUCAGGAUUUGAGCUCAGGCCAUCUGGAAUCUAACACCACUCUCUUUUCUUCAUUCCUUAUGUGACUUGUUUUCAUUUUCAAAACUUUGCUCAACAGUUGCCUUCUCCAGGAAGCCUUCCCUGACUACCCUCUCCAUCCACCCUCCCAUGACCUUCCUGAGUUUCACCUUUGCUGCACUGCUCACACUGUCUCUCAAUUAUCUCCCUUUUUUUCUUCUCAACAGCUUUACUGGGGUGUAACAAACACACGAUAAACUGCGCAUAUUCCAGUGUUCAUGUGGAUGAGUUUGGACAUAUGCACACACUUCCGAAACCACCAGCACAAUCAAGACAGCAGACAUAUCCAUCGCCCCCAAGGGUGUCCUUGUGUCUUUUUGUCAUUCAUCCCUCCCGGCCGCCCCAUCCACACUCCCAUCGCCUGCCGACUGUGGCUGAUCUGCUUUCUGCGGCUGUGGAUUAGUUUGCGUUCUCUACAAUUUUCUGAAGCACCAGUUAGCCCAGAUGCUUCUCAUCUUUGGAGUUGAGCUGCAGGCUGGAGACCUGGAAGGCCCUCGCAGCGCCUGCUCCCAUCCUCUCACCUCACGAAAGCGCAGGAAUGUGGGUUUGGAGCCAAUGAAAAGUACUGGAAUCUGGCUCUGCUCUGUGACCCUGGACAAGUCACUGCCCCUCUCUGGGCUUCAGUUUCCUCCUUGCUCCAUGAGGGCAGGGGAUUUUGUCUGUUUCAUUCACAAUGUGUUCCCAGAGCUCAGCACAGUGUCAGGCACACACUAGGUAACAGCACCUCGACUUCCUACUGAAGAACCCCCUCUUCCCUUUUCUCAGUCCAUGAGGCUGGGGGUGCCCAGAGGCCUCUGUCUCCAGGGGUGGACAUGUGACCGGGUCUUGCUCUAGUGAUUGGUCCAGGGAUGGGCACAUGACUGAGCCUGCCCAAUGAAACUUGAUCUUGGGACUUCAGGGUUGGCCAUGAUUUGUGAAGGAGAUGCCAUUUUCCAUUGGAUGGACAGUGAGCAAGUGAACGCUUAGAGAAGAAGAGGACAAAACAAGGGAAAAGCCUGCCUGACAGGAAGCAGCACAGAGCUGGACAGGCUUUGAACUCCUGGAUCCCACUGUACCUGAAAUUAGGCACCUUCAACUUUCUAGUUAUGUGAGCCACUGUCUUUCCCAUUUUUGGCUGAAAACAGUUGGGACUGGCUUUCUGUCCCUUGCAUACAGAAGGUGCUGACUGACCCCUGCCCCAUGGAAGAAGAUACUCCAGGCAGAGGAAAUAGUGUGUAUAGACACCCCUAAGCGAAUGCCAAGCGGGGCACUCAUGUACCAAGAAGAAGGAGGAGGAGGCACCUGGGAGCUGAGCUUAAGAGUUAGUCGGGUGGUCAAGGUGGGAGAAGGGGGUAUCUUUAGCAGAGGGAACAACCAUUGCAAAAGCUUGGAGGGGUGACUAGUUAGUGAAGAUCAACUGUGUGCUGAGCUCGUGUUGGGUGGCAAGGGACACAGACGAAAAGGGCACGGUGGAACCCAGCUACUUCUCACCUGCUCCAGCGCAGUGCAGGCUUGUCUGCUUUUGGAGCCGAGCCUGGACACCUCCGUGUCCUUCCCCCGGCAGAGUGCUGCCAGCACGCUGUCUCAGACUCUCCAGCAUCUCCUGGUUGAUGUG